rnacentral:tRNA from 1 species
GCGAGAUUGGUCUGGUGACCUAGCGAGCUUCUAAACCUCGCGAUCGACCGGUUCGACUCCGGUAUCUCGCGC